UAUGGCUCAGAUUGAACGCUGGCGGCAGGCCUAACACAUGCAAGUCGAGCGGAUGACGGGAGCUUGCUCCUUGAUUCAGCGGCGGACGGGUGAGUAAUGCCUAGGAAUCUGCCUGGUAGUGGGGGACAACGUUUCGAAAGGAACGCUAAUACCGCAUACGUCCUACGGGAGAAAGCAGGGGACCUUCGGGCCUUGCGCUAUCAGAUGAGCCUAGGUCGGAUUAGCUAGUUGGUGGGGUAAUGGCUCACCAAGGCGACGAUCCGUAACUGGUCUGAGAGGAUGAUCAGUCACACUGGAACUGAGACACGGUCCAGACUCCUACGGGAGGCAGCAGUGGGGAAUAUUGGACAAUGGGCGAAAGCCUGAUCCAGCCAUGCCGCGUGUGUGAAGAAGGUCUUCGGAUUGUAAAGCACUUUAAGUUGGGAGGAAGGGCAGUAAGYUAAUACCUUGCUGUUUUGACGUUACCGACAGAAUAAGCACCGGCUAACUCUGUGCCAGCAGCCGCGGUAAUACAGAGGGUGCAAGCGUUAAUCGGAAUUACUGGGCGUAAAGCGCGCGUAGGUGGUUUGUUAAGUUGGAUGUGAAAGCCCCGGGCUCAACCUGGGAACUGCAUCCAAAACUGGCAAGCUAGAGUACGGUAGAGGGUGGUGGAAUUUCCUGUGUAGCGGUGAAAUGCGUAGAUAUAGGAAGGAACACCAGUGGCGAAGGCGACCACCUGGACUGAUACUGA
rnacentral:rRNA from 1 species